rnacentral:rRNA from 1 species
CACCGCCCGUCGCUACUACCGAUUGAAUGGCUUAGUGAGGCCUUCGGAUUGGCUAUUGGGAUCUCGCGAGAGAACCUAACUGCUGAGAAGUUGUACGAACUUGGUCAUUUAGAGGAAGUAAAAGUCGUAACAAGGUUUCCGUAGGUGAACCUGCGGAAGGAUCAUUAAUGAAUAUUAGGGCGCCUUUACUUAACCGUAUUGGGCCUGACCUCCAUUAUUCACACUUGUGCACCAAAACCAAUGUUGCAACGGCGAAAAGAGGACUUUUCGCGAAGUCUUCAAAGUAGUUAUUGCUUCAUUUUACUAUUAUACUCUAAGUCAAUGAAUGUAAUUAAACCAUAACAAAAUAAAACUUUCAACAACGGAUCUCUUGGCUCUCGCAUCGAUGAAGAACGCAGCGAAAUGUGAUAAGUAAUGUGAAUUGCAGAAUUCAGUGAAUCAUCGAAUCUUUGAACGCACCUUGCGCUCUCUGGUAUUCCGGAGAGCAUGUCUGUUUGAGUGUCAUGAACUCUUCAACCCACCGGUUCCUGGUUGGAUCGAGUUGGUGUUUGGAUCUUGAAUGUUGCUGGCUUGAUUUCUUAGGAAGUGAAAGCGUAGCUCGUUCGUAAUACAUUAGCAUCUCAAUUUCUGAACUUCGGAUUGACUCAGCGUUAUAGACUAUUCGCUGAGGACACAAGUAACAUUGUGGCCGAGUUGAAAGAUAACUAGAAGCUUCUAAUCCCUUACUAGUCAAAACUAUAAGAUUAGACCUCAGAUCAGCAGAUCAGGCAGGAUUACCCGCUGAACUUAAGCAUAUCAAUAAGCGGAGGAAAAGAAACUAACAAGGAUUCCCCUAGUAACGGCGAGUGAAGCGGGAAGAGCUCAAAUUUGAAAUCUGGCACUUUCAGUGUCCGAGUUGUAAUCUCGAGAAGUGUUUUCCGCGCUGGACCGCAUAUAAGUCUGUUGGAAUACAGCGUCAUAGUGGUGAGAACCCCGUAAAUGAUGCGGACGCCCAGUGCUUUGUGAUACACUUUCGAAGAGUCGAGUUGUUUGGGAAUGCAGCUCAAAUUGGGUGGUAAAUUCCAUCUAAAGCUAAAUAUUGGCGAGAGACCGAUAGCGAACAAGUACCGUGAGGGAAAGAUGAAAAGCACUUUGGAAAGAGAGUUAACAGUACGUGAAAUUGUUGGAAGGGAAACGCUUGAAGUCAGACUUGCUGUUUGGAAUUCAGCCGCAAGGUGUACUUUUCAGAUAUGCAGGCCAGCAUCAGUUUUUGGGGGUGAAAAAGGGUAUUGAGAAGGUAGCAGUUUCGGCUGUGUUAUAGCUCUUUACUGGAUUCAUCCUUGGGGACUGAGGAACGCAGCUCACUUUUUGCACGACCUCGGGU